rnacentral:lncRNA from 1 species
AUAGGAUUAGGACACUGUUGUUUAGAGUGUGUUGUUGGUAGCCGCCCAGUAGGGCAAUGUGUUGUUUUACUGCUUGCAUUGCUUUUACCUGUGUGAUGUUAUAAUGAUAUGUAUGCCUGUUUGCUCUGUGUGCUUGGAAUCAUUUGUCACCCUGUUAAGUAGAAAUGUUUAACAGAGCUGGCAUUGGAUUUCCUAACAAGAUUAUGAU